rfam:Gossypium hirsutum cultivar TM-1 chromosome 22, whole genome shotgun sequence
UAUUAUAAAUUUCAUCUAUUUAUACUGUUAAAAAUUUGCAUGACUAAUAGAAUAACUGGACACUGACAUGUGACGUGCCAUGUGUACCUCAUGCCGAUGUGUAGGAACCAUUUUUUAACAUUAGAAAUGAAUGAAAUUUUUAAUA